UACGGGGGGGGGCAAGCGUUGUUCGGAAUUACUGGGCGUAAAGGGCUCGUAGGUGGCCAACUAAGUCAGACGUGAAAUCCCUCGGCUUAACCGGGGAACUGCGUCUGAUACUGGAUGGCUAGAGUUUGGGAGAGGGAUGCGGAAUUCCUGGUGUAGCGGUGAAAUGCGUAGAUAUCAGGAGGAACACCUGUGGCGAAAGCGGCGCACUGGACCACAACUGACGCUGAGGCGCGAAAGCUAGGGGAGCAAACAGG
rnacentral:rRNA from 1 species